rnacentral:rRNA from 1 species
AGAGGGGUGAAGCGGAGGGACAUUAAAGAGUUUAUUAACUCCCAAACCCAUGUGAACAUACCAUACGUUGCCUCGGUAGGCUACAUCUGCUCUAUUAGAGCGAUGUGUAACCGGCCUGCCGGCGGUCCAUUAACUCUGUUUAUUUUUGAAUUCUGAGGUUAUAUAAAAUAAGUUAAAACUUUCAACAACGGAUCUCUUGGUUCUGGCAUCGAUGAAGAACGCAGCGAAAUGCGAUAAGUAAUGUGAAUUGCAGAAUUUAGUGAAUCAUCGAAUCUUUGAACGCACAUUGCGCCCAUUAGUAUUCUAGUGGGCAUGCCUGUUCGAGCGUCAUUUCAACCCUUAAGCCUUUGUUGCUUAGCGUUGGGAGCCUACGGUAGCGUAGCUCCUCAAAAUCAGUGGCGGAGUCGGUUCACACUCUAGACGUAGUACAUUUUAUCUCGUCUGUGAGUUGGGCUGGUCCCCUGCCGUAAAACCCCUAAUUUUUAAAGGUUGACCUCGGAUCAGGUAGGAAUACCCGCUGAACUUAAGCAUAUCAUA